GCAGCCGUAGCUCAGCUGGAUAGAGCGCUGCCCUCCGAAGGCAGAGGUCUUGAGUUCGAAUCUCAACGGUUGCGCCA
rnacentral:tRNA from 3 species